GUCUCAGCAGCCGCGGUAAUACGUAGGUGGCAAGCGUUGUCCGGAAUUAUUGGGCGUAAAGCGUGCGCAGGCGGUUUCUUAAGUCUGAUGUGAAAGCCCACGGCUUAACCGGGGAGGGUCAUUGGAAACUGGGAGACUGGAGUGCAGAAGAGGAAAGUGGAAUUCCAAGUGUAGCGGUGAAAUGCGUAGAGAUUUGAAGGAACACCAGUGGCGAAGGCGACUUUCUGGUCUGCAACUGACGCUGAGGCUCGAAAGCAUGGGGAGCAAACAGGAUUAGAUACCCUGGUAGUCCAUGCCGUAAACGAUGAGUACUAAGUGUUGGAGGUAU
rnacentral:rRNA from 1 species